UGAGGAAUAUUGGGCAAUGGAGGCAACUCUGACCCAGCCAUGCCGCGUGCAGGAAGACUGCCCUAUGGGUUGUAAACUGCUUUUAUACAGGAAGAAACAUUACUACGUGUAGUAACUUGACGGUACUGUAAGAAUAAGGACCGGCUAACUCCGUGCCAGCAGCCGCGGUAAUACGGAGGGUCCAAGCGUUAUCCGGAACCAUUGGGUUUAAAGGGUCCGCAGGCGGUCAAUUAAGUCAGAGGUGAAAUCCCAUAGCUUAACUAUGGAACUGCCUUUGAUACUGGUUGACUUGAGUCAUAUGGAAGUAGAUAGAAUGUGUAGUGUAGCGGUGAAAUGCAUAGAUAUUACAC
rnacentral:rRNA from 1 species